AACGUCCCCUCUCUUCUCUCCCUCUCCCACACGUUUUUUUUCAUUCUCCUCCACUCUCCCAUCUCCAAAAACCUUCCAUUCAAGUUUGUUCUUGCAGCCAUUGAAAGUACCUUCGAGAGUUUCCAACGGAUCGCUUCGUUCUUCUCUUCUACCAAUUGGUUUUUAUAAUGGAAGGGUGUUGGGUACUCGUGAACUCGAGGAUCGAGAGUUGCUAAGUUGGGUUGUGAAUUACUAAGAGAACGAGAUAUAAAUUAAUACACAAAUCAAUUCUCACCGUCCAUUAAAUCAAGAUCGAUAGGACCAAAUUGAUCAAUCACGAGCCACAAGAACACCUUGCUUUCCCACUUUGCGACCAGAAAAGUGUCCAACCAAAGCAGCUGGCGCAGCCUCAAUUCCUUCAACAAUGAAGUAGUCGAAGACGACGAAUCCUUGCAUUCGGAUUUUCUUUACGAUCACAUACAUCAAGUUGUGUGUCGCGUCUGGCUCCUCCUCGUCAUACUGCGAGAUCAUCCCGCAGGCGGUGAUGCGACCGUGGGGUCUAAUGUUCGGGAGCAUUGAAUCGAGCAUUUUGCCUCCUACGUUUUUGAAAUAUAUGUCGAUCCAUUCGGGGAAGUACCUAAAUAGUUGUGAUUAAUUUCAUACACUUAUUAGAGAUAACAAAGUACGGGUCGGGGUUGUGCUCAUUAGACCGAAUGGGAAAUUUUGAUCAUAAAUAUAUGUUUUUUGUUUAUUUAUGUGACUAGCCAGGGCCAUAUGGGCUACAUGUAUAUAUAUCUUUGGAUUGGACCGGCCUGACCCGACCCAAUAUCUUGUUGGCCCAUAAUCUAUAUGGUCAGAUCAGUUAAUUAUAUAUGUAAAAGAAAUUAAUUAAUUUUGUCAC